rnacentral:rRNA from 1 species
AUUGAACGCUGGCGGCAUGCUUUACACAUGCAAGUCGAACGGUAACAGGCCUUCGGGUGCUGACGAGUGGCGAACGGGUGAGUAAUGCAUCGGAACGUACCCAGAGGUGGGGGAUAACGCAGCGAAAGCUGUGCUAAUACCGCAUGUGAUCUGAGGAUGAAAGCGGGGGACCGAGCAGCAAUGUUUGGCCUCGCGCCUUUGGAGCGGCCGAUGUCGGAUUAGCUAGUUGGUGGGGUAAAGGCCUACCAAGGCGACGAUCCGUAGCUGGUCUGAGAGGACGACCAGCCACACUGGGACUGAGACACGGUCCAGACUCCUACGGGAGGCAGCAGUGGGGAAUUUUGGACAAUGGGCGCAAGCCUGAUCCAGCAAUGCCGCGUGCGGGAAGAAGGCCUUCGGGUUGUAAACCGCUUUUGGCAGGAACGAAACGGUGUCCGCUAAUACCGGGCGCUAAUGACGGUACCUGCAGAAUAAGCACCGGCUAACUACGUG